rnacentral:lncRNA from 1 species
AUUCACUUUCUCAGAUGUCUUGUUUUACCAUAAACAAUGUCAUUGGCAUUUGGCGCCCACUAAACAAACUUACUCGUUUUUCAUAUACAGUGGUUAUAUAUCUCCAGAAUAUGCAAUGCACGGAUACUUUUCUGUGAAAUCCGAUGUGUUUAGUUUCGGAAUUAUGGUUCUAGAGAUUAUUAGUGGAAAGAGGAAAGGUUGUUCUGCUGAAUCAGAGUGCGUUGAUGACAUCCGAAGAUAUGUGAGUACAAAAUUUCUUAGACUUCUCUUUAUAGAGUUGAAAGAAUGAUUUUCUUCAUUAACAAAUGAAAACGAAUACUUUAGGCUUGGAAAAAAUGGGCAGAGCAAACGCCGUUGGAACUGGUGGAUCCUCAUAUAGAAGGAACUUAUUCUCAAGAAGAAGUCAUCAAGUACAUCCACAUUGGUUUAUUAUGUGUUCAGGAAGUUCCAGAAGAAAGACCUACAAUGGCAACAAUUGCAUUCUACCUCAACAGCCCUUCAAUCAACUUGCCAUCACCUCUCGAACCUCCAUAUUUUAAGCGUAGUGGAAUUGAAGAAAACACGACCCAGAUCAAAGAAUUGGACAUUAUCAGUGAUUCCACCAAUGGAAUCACUUGACUACAUUCUUUCCUCGUUAAGACAUAGGUGAAAAUCGUUUUCGUUGUAUCAGUAAUAUUAUCUACUGUUACAUAAUGAUUAUAGACCACAUAAUUGAAGCAUAUGAUAUACCCUUGGAAUAAACUUUCCAAGAGUUUGGAAACAGACAAUGUUAAAUUAUAACAUACACUAGAGUACAUUAUCUUCAAAUAAAAAUAAUUGUUAAACUCAUAGAAUCGGGGAAGAGUUUUUUGUUUUUUUUUUAACUAUGUUAUUGGUGUAAAGUAUCCCCUGAUGACUAAUCACCGUCAGGAAUUGCUUGACCACUUUUAGUAGGGUCUCCUCUCUGGGCCACAAUUUUUCAAACUACAACGCUCAAACACAAUACCUUAUUCAAGGAAUAUGAGUCAAAUUCUACUUGGAGCAACGUAAUGUUGGUGAGGAAGAACGUUUGAAUACAAAAUCUAUGGAAAUCUACCAUAAACCAAGAACUUCGCAAAUAGGAAAAUAAAAGGCAGUAAGCAAAAUCUGUAUGGAUAUUUUGAGAGACAAUUUAUCAAACAGUUGUGGGCUGUAAAGUAUGGUUAGCAAAAUGAAACAGGACUAUUGUUGUCAACAUAUAUUACGGAUUAUCUUGGUGUUAGAAUUUAUGAUUGAGAAUGAGAAAUCACCUGGGCGCAUCUCGUAAACUGAACUAUCUCAAGACCACGUGAAUGAUGGAUGAUUGCAACUGCCAAGCUCUUUUGAAUUAAAUGACAUUCCCUCUCAUUUUCAGAUUUUAAUUAUGUGAAUUGAUUCGUCUAAAGUAUUUCAAUGAUAAUUCCGAUUGUUUGGUCUAAUAAUAAAAAGACAUCUCUUUAUAAAUAUUCAAUUAAUCUUAAAGUCUUUUUACUUUGUGCUGAGCAUAAUCCAUUUGAGCAAUUAGAACAUAAUAAACAAUAAUAUGUAUAGGCAUAGAUUAAACGAGUUAUUUUAAGAAUUACAUGAUAAUCAUCUUAUAACAAUCUCAAUUACACUUGAUUUAUUUUAAGAAAUUUUUUAUAACUUAUUUAAUUUGAAAAAGAAAAAUAAAGCAUUCCCUCAUUUUCCCUUCAAAAUCCAACUUAUAAAGAUACCCUAAGGUAUGAUCUCAAUACACAUAAACAUAGUUACUGCUACAUAAUCCCUCCCGUAUGAAAUAUAAAAAAAAAUGUCAUAAUUUAAAAAUUGAUAUAUCUAAUCUAAAUCUAAAUUUUAAGUAAAUACAUGAAUCUUUUGCUAUCAUUUUUACCUUAACCACUGCGUACAACAGCAAAUUCCGUAGGUGCUCAUUGGUCCAAAUCCCAAUUUCCUCCUCCUAUUGUCGCAACCUCCUGCAUACUACAUCAGACCAUACACACUCCUAACAAACAAAGUUAAUCUUAUCCAACUUUGAUUCUUUUUAAUUACUUUGCUGCAUUUUUCCAAUAUCAACAGACCAUAAGCAAUAAAUAUCAGCAAGGACUGAAUUUGUUAAGAAGCUAAGACAUAAACAAUAAAUAUCUGAUCAUGUGUCUUUAAGAUUUUCAGUAACUUAGUGUGCACAUCUUAAAAAAGGUUAACACACCUGGAGUAUUUCACCUAACUGAGUGUGCACAUCUCAUUAAUAUGUGAGUAAAUACAAAAAAAUGAACAAACUCCACAAGUUUACAAAAUUAUGCAUUUCAUAUACAUUCAAUAACAACACUCUAUGUCUCACUUUUCUCUGUUCUCUAGCCUCUUUCUCUCUUGUCACUUCUUCUCUCACCCAAACAUACAACUAGUAUCUGCUACUUCUUUACUCAAGUUUUGUGAAAAUGAUCUUUAUACUUUCCAUAAACUUCUAAAAUAGUAUAUUUAGUUUAUAAAAUUGAACACUUUUACCCUUCAAAACUUGAAUUUUAUCUUGUAUUCCAUUUUAGUUUGAAAAUGACAAAAAACCAAAUAUAAAGCUGGCUUCCGUGUUUCAUGGAUUUGCAUCCAUAUGUCCCUCAGUCCCUCUUAUCCAUGUUAAACUCAAUUUACUAACAAAUUUGAAGUAUAGACUUUAGUAUAUCUCAAAUGCCAAAUCUACAAAUACACAAAUUUAACAAAAUACAAACGGCAAAGCAACUGUGUUAUUGGUAGCUAGUGCAUGCUCUUAAAAAAUUUCAAACUCAUCCAUGGCUUGCCACAUCGAACUAGCUAGUCUUCCUCUUUCCCCUUUCACCAUCUUCUUCAAUUUUGCAACCCCAAGAACCUAAUUUUCUCUAUCAAGUUUGCUCAAAAAACAGAUUCACGGCCAACAGCACCUACCAAGUAAACCUCAAACUCAUGUUUUUUUAUUUUUUUUUAUCUUCUAACCCAACCGGAAACACCCAAUUCUUCAACAACACUCUCAGUGAAUUUUUUUUCAAACAAAGUUCAUGGAUUAUUCAUGUGCAGCGGUGACAUCCCCUCCCAGCUAUGUACUUCGUGUGUUCCAAACACAAACAAGCAACUUAUCACAAAGACAUGGCGCUCUUUGUCCGUUACAGCAGUUAUGUGGUACAUGCACGGUUCGGUAUUCCAACAAUUCUUUCUUAUCCACCAUGGCCACAGGACCUGACUUUGUUCUUUUAAAUAUUUUAAAAAUAAACAAACAAAUUUAAGGUCAUGAUGACGAGGAGGAGCAGAAGAUGUAAAAGGGUCACUUGGGUUGAAAAAAAUAAAUAUAUAGUUGGUGUGUGACAUAUGGCUUUUUGGUGUGUGUCAAAAAUUUUGUCCUCAAGCAAAAGCAGCCAAGAUUGUUUCAUAAUUGAAGUGGGUUGAUACUUGAUGUUUUCCCAUGGCUUUUUGAAGGUGGUGGGGAGUAUAAAAUGAUUGAGUGGAAAUAGCAACAUGUAUAGAAAACAAAAAUUUGCGAUAAAGAUUGAAUCAAGGGAAUGAAAAUGAAUAAAUACCUAGUGGGUUGGGCUAGUAUAAUCAUAACUAUUACAUUAAUUAAUAAUGAUCAUUUAACUAAAUCUUUAAAGCAUACAAAAGGAAACAUAUGUAUCAGCCUCCUCAUCCCCCUUGAGAAGUAUGGGUUCCUUCCAUUUUCUGUUUUCACUCUCAACUUUAUUUUGCCUCUUUAGUCAUUGUUCUCCUUCUCCCAUCAUACAAGCUGCUACUGAUAAUGUUACACAUGCUUACUAUAACUGCACAAGGAACACUACUGCUACCAAUAAUGCUUACCGUUCCAACAUCCAAACACUCUUAAAAUGGAUCUCUUCCAAUAGCACUAACAAUGCAAGAUACUACAACACCACAGUUAAUAGCCAAAACACUGCAGACACUGUCUAUGGUUUCUUCCUUUGCAUUAGAGACACUGAUCCCAAAAUCUGUCAGUCGUGUGUGAUAGAAGCAGCCAAACUCAUAUCAUCAUUGUGCACCACAUCAAUAGAAGCCAUAGUUUGGUACACAGUAUGCUAUGUACGGUAUUCUGACCGUUGCUUCUUUUCCACCGUGGAGAAAAGUCCAGAAAUUUCUUUCAUGAAUGAUAAGGAUUAUGUGGGUGAGGUUGAGCGCUUCAACAACAUUGUCUGGGAUAUGUUGAACGAUUUGAGAAGUGAGGCAGCAAAUGCUUCUUCUAAAUUGGCUGACAAGUCAGUGAACAUCACAGCACACCAGAAACUAUAUGGCUACGCUUGGUGCACCCCAUACCUAUCAGCAGAAAAUUGCAGCUGGUGUCUUAGUGAUGCCAUAGCAGAAGUUCCAACCAGUUGCUGCCGAGGAAAAUCUGGAGGCUCAAUAAUAUAUCCUAGUUGUGGUGUUAGAUUCGAAUUAUAUCCAUUCCACAAGGCACACAGCAAUAAUGCUUGGGUACGACCACCCCCACUGCCAACAAGUCCUCUUCCUUCAGCUCCUCCAGGUUUAAGCUUUUGAUUGUCCCUCAUAUACAUUUUCUUAAUUAUACUACCAUUUCUGACACAAUAAGACAGCAAUCGAGUUAUUUUCAUACCACUUAUUACUGUCAACUCAUGACCUAUCUAGCAAGAGAUGUAUCUUUUGGAAUAACUUGGUACAUUGAGAACAGGAAUUUAAAUCACCAAUAAUCUUUUCCUAUCCCUCUAAUGAAAAUAUAAAUAGUCCAUCAAUAUUUUAACAACUAGGAGAGGGUGCUAGCAUUGAAGAGACAAACAUUUCUGGUAGGUGUUGCAUACUAGAAUCAAUUAGGUAAAACCAUAUAGAAUUAUGGCUUUUCAAAUGGAAUUAAUUAGCACCUUUGAAUAAGCAUAAUAUUGAAGACAAAUCAGCUUUAAAUUACAAUCAAAAUAUCUCUAUUAUUAUUUUGAUUAUUAUAAUUAUUAUCUUUCCUGAACAUACAAUAAGCAAAUCCAAAGAUGCAGCUAACAGUAAAAUUCCAAUUUUUUCAUUUACAUAACAGGGGGUAAUAUUUAAAAUUUUCAGACUUAAAAGAAACAAAAGGAGGAAAAAGAAUUUGUAAAUUACAUAUUGUCUACAUUCAUAGUACAUGUUACCAACCCCUAAGCUCUGUUUUCUUUCUUUUCAUCAUUCAAGAGAAAUAGUUCAAACGAUAAAAUUCUUACAGGUUUAAGAAACAUAUGUUGCUUAGGUACAUAACCAUUUUUAAUGGCAAACUGAAAAUGACACAAGGUACUGAUAUUGUUGCAGGAAAAGAAAAACAGAAGACACUAAUAUCAAUUGUGAUCGUUGUUCCAGUUGUUGUAUCACUGGUGCUUUCAGUCUUGGGUUGCUGUUGCUUUCUAUAUAGAAAGGAAAGAAAGAAUCAACAUGAUAUCCUCAAAGAAAGCUGUAUGUGGAAAAUUAUACUUCUAUUUUCAACCAAAAAGAAGUAUUUCCUUUAGCCAUAUAACCUAAAGAAUUCAAACUUGUUGUUGUAGUUGGGAAUGACAUUACCUCUUUGGAGUCCUUGCAAUUUGAAUUAGCCACAAUUGAAGCUGCAACAAACAGAUUUGGUGUAGAAAACAGGAUAGGGAAAGGUGGAUUUGGAGAAGUCUACAAAGUAAAUAUAUCAACUAGUACUACAUUAAAUGAUAAUAUCAAUAAUACUUCUUUUCCAUGUUGACUUCUUCUGUAUGCUAUUCAGGGAAUUCUCUCAGAUGGACAAGAAAUUGCUGUGAAGAGGCUUACAAGAAGCUCCGGGCAAGGUGCAGAAGAGUUUAAAAAUGAGGUUCAAGUUAUAGCUAAGCUUCAACACAGAAAUCUAGUGAGGUUACUAGGAUUUUGUUUGGAAGAUGAAGAGAAGAUACUUAUCUAUGAGUAUGUGCCAAACAAGAGUCUAGAUUACUUUUUAUUUGGUAUGUUGUUUCUAAACUUAUAAAUUCUAAAUUUCAGCUAGAGGCAUGUCUGGGUAAAUGAAUAACCUUUUAUGGAUCCAUUCUGAUUCGAACUGGAUAACUGACCAUCCAAAUAAACUAAUAUUGUAGAUCCCCAUAAGCGAAAACUGUUAUCUUGGUCUCAACGCCAGAAGAUCAUCAAAGGAGUUGCCCGUGGAAUUAUUUAUCUACAUGAAGAUUCUCGCCUCAAAAUAAUACACCGUGAUCUGAAACCUAGUAAUGUCUUGUUAGAUAGUAAUAUGAACCCAAAAAUAUCAGAUUUUGGCAUGGCUAGAAUCGUGUCUGGAGAUCAAAAUGAAGAAAGUACUUGCAGGAUUGUAGGGACGUAGUAAGUUUAUUAUUUUUGCUCAACUUCAUUUGCUUUUUCACAUGCCUUGUUUUACCAAGCAAUCGUUGUCAAUUUGUCAUUGAUGAUCACUAAACAAAAUUUCUCCUUUUUCAUAUACAGUGGUUAUAUUUCUCCAGAAUAUGCAAUGCAUGGAUACUUUUCUGCGAAAUCAGAUGUGUUUAGUUUUGGAAUCAUGGUUCUAGAGAUUAUCAGUGGAAAGAGGAAAGGUUGUUCUACUGACUCAGAGUGCGUUGAUGACAUCCGAAGAUACGUGAGUACAAAAUUUCUUAGACCUCUGUUUAUAUAGUUGAAAGAAUGAUUUUCUUCAUUAACAAAUUAAUAUUUUAGGCUUGGAUAAAAUGGGCAGAGCAAACGCCUCUUGAACUAUUGGAUCCUAAUAUAGAAGGAACUUAUUCCCAUGAAGAAGUAAUCAAGUACGUCCACAUUGGCUUGUUAUGUGUUCAAGAAGAUCCAAAUGAAAGACCUACAAUGGCAACAAUUGCAUUCUACCUCAACAGCCCUUCAAUCAACCUGCCACCACCUCUUGAACCGCCAUAUUUUAGGCGUAGUAGAAUUGAAGAAAACACAACCCUCAGCAAGGAAUUGGGCAAUACCAGUGAUUCCACCAAUGGAAUCACUAUGACUACAUUCUUUCCUCGUUAAGGCAUGGGUGAAAACAGUUUUUGCUGUAUCAAUAUUAUUAUCUACAUUCUACUGUUACAUAAUGAUUAUAGACCACAUACUUGAACCAUAUGAAAUACAAUUUGAAUAAAUCAUUCAAGAGUUUGAAAACAAUGUUAAGUUAUAAAGUAUACUUACUAGAGUAUAUUUACAUCUUCAAAGAACGUUUGAAUACGGAUAAUUAUAUUCCUGGGCUCUAAGUAAAUCUACCAUAAAUUAAGAACAUCGGAAAUAGAAAAAGAAAAGGCAUUAAGCAAAAUGUGUGUGCAUAUUUUACGUAGACAUUUUAUCAAACAGUUGUGGGGUGUCAAGUAUGGUCAGCAAAAAGAAACAAGACUAAUGAUGUCGGCAUAUAUUAUGGAUUAUCUUGGUGUUAGAAUUUAUGAUUGAGAAAUCACCUUGGCGCAAUUCGUAAAGUGAAGACCACGUGAAUGAUGGAUGAUUGAAGAGUGAGAGAUGAAUCAGCAAGAUAUGUCUAUGCAAAUUAAACCUCGAAGUUCUUCUAGGUAAAUUGAGUCUCGCUCUUUGCACUCCAAUUGCAUAAAGAGGGAAAAUUU